rnacentral:piRNA from 1 species
UGCUACUACAGUGAAAAGCUGGCUCUGC